AUUGAACGCUGGCGGCAGGCCUAACACAUGCAAGUCGAGCGAGCGGCGGACGGGUGAGUAAUGUCUGGGAAACUGCCUGAUGGAGGGGGAUAACUACUGGACACGGUAGCUAAUACCGCAUACCAUCAGAUGUGCCCAGAUGGGAUUAGAUAGUAGGUGGGGUAAUGGCUCACCUCGGCGCCGAUCCCUCGCUGGUCUGAGAGGAUGACCAGCCACCCUGGAACUGAGACACGGUCCAGACUCCUACGGGAGGCAGCAGUGGGGAAUAUUGCACAAUGGGCGCAAGCCUGAUGCAGCCAUGCCGCGUGUGUGAAGAAGGCCUUCGGGUUGUAAAGCACUUUCAGCGGGGAGGCGUUACCCGCAGAAGAAGCACCGGCUAACUCCGUGCCAGCAGCCGCGGUAAUUC
rnacentral:rRNA from 1 species